UGGGAGUUAUACCUGAUGUAAAUGAUGAGUUGAUGGGUGCAGCACAGCAACAUGGCACAAGUAUACAUAUGUAACAAAUCUGCACGUUAUGCACAUGUACCCUACAACUUAAAGUAUAAUAAUAAUAAAUAAAUUAAAAAAGAAAAAAAUAAAAUAAAAAUAAAAAUAAUUGCUCUCUCUUUUUUUCAGAGGGGAGAGGGGCAGAUAUUUCCAUACCUGUAUAAACUCUGAGAUUAAUAAUUUCAGAGUUCCACUCCUUGUGAUAUCACUGCAUUGUAUACACAGGUGUAACCAUUUGGUUCUUAGUAUUAUCCUGUGCAGUGUUGGCUGCUGUUACUGUUGAGAGGUAUAAAGAUCCAACCUGAUUCAGAGGAUAUAUAUCAAAUGGUGUUAUUUGUUUGGAGGGAGAGGUGCAACCAAAUGUUAAUUAUUUGUGCCAUAAUGACAAGAAGUUAGUGAAUCGAGUUUACAUAUUUAUACAUCUAUGCUGGCUGAAGAUUUACAUCUUGUAUCCAAUGCAUGUUGCUGACGUUAUGCUCUGCAGAUUCUCAUUACACCGAGUUCUUCUGUGUUCAUCUGCUUCCUCAAGGCCAUGAUCCAUUACAUCUGUCUCAGCUCAGCUGAUGCUCUGGCAGUGGUUCUCCGCACUGAGCAUUGCUGCCACACACCUUUGGUCUUUAAACCUGAACUGAAAUGAAGCUUAAACUAAAAUGUAGAGGGCAAAUGGUGUGCAAAACAAAAUUUAAAUAGUAGUGAUUAAUCUUUCCAAUGAAGUUUUUUGGUUCUAGCCCAUUAAUUUUCAAUGAACGUUCAUUAAGUACUUAUCAUGUACUAGCCACCAUCUUACCUCCAAAAAUAAAGAUGAUAGAUAAAUGAUAUUUGGUUUCGGCACUCAUUUAAUAUUAUUGUGUGUGUAUAUGUAUGUGCAGACAAACUAAUAAUAUUAUGACAUGGAUAAUCACAUGAUCUUAGAAACUAUGUAGUGUGUGAGCCCAAAGAGCUGGAAGUAAAAGGUGGUAAUGAAUCUUCACCUUCUCAUCCCCCCAGUGACA
rnacentral:lncRNA from 1 species